ensembl:lncRNA
ACCAGCACCAACUCUUCCUGGGGCCUGGUGUUUAGUUGGGAGGAGGAGUCAUGGGCCCCAUUGAAUCAGCCUGGGGUCAUGGGCCCUGGCUCUGGAAUGGCUACAGCCCCAGGAGGUCCAUACAUCAGAGAACAGGCUUAGGUGGCUGGGGGCGCCUGACCAGGCCCGUAGCCAGCGCCCUGGGAGAGCUGACUCUGGAAUUCUGGACAACGUGGACACUGAGGAAUCAGCUCUGUGUCCCUGGGUCUCAGCCCAGGGGGGUCAUGUGACCACCUCCCCCAUACUCCCUCCACCCCUUGCCCCUUCCUUGUCUGCCUGGAGCCUGGCCCCUGGGGCUCUGUUGGUCUUGGAUCAGAGCUGGCGGGAACUGAUCCCCGUCACCAGCAUGCCUAACCUGAAGGGGCCCCUCUGGAAGUAGGGGAGUUUCAGGGUGGGACAAGGAUGCAGCUGGGAGCUUCUCAAGGUAGAACAGAAAGAGGGUGCUAAGGACCACAAGGGAGGAGCUGCUGUGAACCUCUGCCUCAUCAAGGAUUAAACUACCUGGCUAAGCUACUUGCUAGGAAGCAGCCUGUCAGGUUCCCUGCCUGGUCCUGCCCCUGCAGGGCCUCAAGGUCACCUGGGGUCUUAUUAUGUAGUUCAGGCUGGGCUUGAACUUACUUCGUAGCCUAGGCUGGCUACAAACUGGAACUUGCAGUGAUCCUCCUCCCGAAUGCUAGGAUUACAGACUUGUGUCACCACACCUGGCUUCUGCUAUUAACUUUGGAUGAGCUGGGGCUGGGGAUUUAGCUCAGUGGUUUCAUCGCCUGCUGCGCAAGCGCAAGGACCUGAGUUCGAUCCCCGGUACCAAAACAAAACAAAAACAAAAAAACCCCAAACUUUGGACAAGCUACUUGACGCAUUUGGACCUCAGUGUUUUCCCUUGGAAAUGGGAAUCCCCCCCUCAUAAGGCUGCUGGGAGAAUGAGACAGAGCACGUGUUUAUUGUGGGCACAGCCCAGGAAAUGACAAUCUUUUCGCUCACCUGCUCCUUGCUUGGGUGAGCCAUCCCCCACCACCUUAGUCAACUCUUUCUCUGAAAGACAGUGGCAGCACUGGUGACAAGUUCGAUGACCACAGGUGAGCAGUGAGAAAGAACUCUUCUGGCAGCUGGGGGCUAUAGAGGAAGGAGAGAGGAGAGGAGCCCUGAUACAGCAAAGCCAGGGGAAUGAGGUUCUGCAGGAAGGGCAGAAAGCUGGCUUGGCUUGGCUGGGAUGUGGGGAGCAGACCUAGCAAGGGCUACCAAGCAAGACCUUCUGAGCUAAAUGAGGGCUGGAGUUAGUCAUGAAGGGCCACUGGCAGCUGCCGUGGGCUGGGAGGGGCACAGUCUGAUUUGCCAUUUGAAAAACUAUCUGGUGGCAGUGUGGGGGCUGGACUGGAGUGGAGAUGAGAGAUGCCAUCUUCUUGUUCCAGUGAGGCCUUAAGGGAAAGUGGACAGGUUGAGAAGGCAGAGUGGGGCCCCGGCAACACUGUCUUGCCCUUCCCAGAGUAGGAGCAGGAAGAGUAGACAAUCCAAAGAAGUGUCCCAGAAGUGUCCCACUGCUACCCAUGGAGACCUGCAGACUGGAGUCCUGAUUGAGUCAGGUGCAGGGCUGAGAUGGACAAAGAAAAGGCCAGAAAGGUGUCCCUGGAGCGCAUAGCCAGGAAAGUAUCUGCAGAAUGGAGGAGGCAGAAGCCAGGAUGCAGGGUAUGAGAGGACGCAGGGUGUAAGAGGACACAGGGUGAGGUAUGCAGAGGCAGAAUGCCCGGCUUGUCCUACUGUCCUCGCUCCAAUGGGCAGGAGAGAGCCUGACAGCCAGAGGCAGGUGGGAAGAGCUUCUCUGAUGUGAGUUGAGAGAGACAUGGCAGGUUCCUGGGAAAGGGCUAGUCAGGAAGGAGAGGUGGUGUUAAUUCAUGGUAUGUCAGCCUCGAAAAGGAGGGGACACCUAGGAAAGGCAGUAGAGGGCGGUG